rnacentral:tRNA from 1 species
GUUGGUGUAGCUCAGUGGUGGAGCACAUGCAUAGCAUGCACAAGGUCCUGGGUUCAAUCCCCAGUACCUCUA